rnacentral:piRNA from 1 species
UUNUUAGGAGAGCAUUGACUGCGUAGGC